rnacentral:lncRNA from 1 species
GUAGGACCCUCCGAGCCAGAAUGGCCCUGUCUGAGAGAUAUGUUACCCUAAACACCAAGACUCAAUAUAUAUGACUUAAGAAAAAAAAGAUCCUUAUGCACUAUCUGAAGGUGAUGCUUCCUGACUUUUGCAACAGAAAGAAUGCUGUCUUCCUGUGCCUGCGGAGAUGAUAAUCAAGCUGGCACACUGACAAUCAAUGUAAAUUCAUUAAACAAAACAGGAAGUAAACAGGUAGGACAUCUUUCUCCUCUGUGCUCCUUCCUUUUCCUCAUGAGAGAAGAAUGGACUAACCUCAUUGAUUGAGAUUGUCAUGACAAUGUGUCUCCUCCCCUUUCCUUUCUGAUUCUGGGUUGAACCCCAAGGAAACAUGAUGAACCAGGUUGCAUGACUGUGAAGGCAGGAUAAAAGAAAAGCAGAAGAACCACAUUAAUCAUGGCAGACAUUGAUGAAGAAGGACAAUGAGGUAUUUGCUUCUGGUGUAUAUAAA